GACGAACGCUGGCGGCGUGCCUAAUACAUGCAAGUUGAGCGCUGAAGGUUGGUACUUGUACCAACUGGAUGAGCAGCGAACGGGUGAGUAACGCGUGGGGAAUCUGCCUUUGAGCGGGGGACAACAUUUGGAAACGAAUGCUAAUACCGCAUAAAAACUUUAAACACAAGUUUUAAGUUUGAAAGAUGCAAUUGCAUCACUCAAAGAUGAUCCCGCGUUGUAUUAGCUAGUUGGUGAGGUAAAGGCUCACCAAGGCGAUGAUACAUAGCCGACCUGAGAGGGUGAUCGGCCACAUUGGGACUGAGACACGGCCCAAACCCCUACGGGAGGCAGCAGUAGGGAAUCUUCGGCAAUGGACGAAAGUCUGACCGAGCAACGCCGCGUGAGUGAAGAAGGUUUUCGGAUCGUAAAACUCUGUUGGUAGAGAAGAACGUUGGUGAGAGUGGAAAGCUCAUCAAGUGACGGUAACUACCCAGAAAGGGACGGCUAACUACGUG
rnacentral:rRNA from 1 species